UUGCUUCAACAGCAUAUAUACAAAAACUGGAAUGAUGCAGAGACCCAGGUCAAGGCCUCUGUGCAAGAGUAAUAUGUAAAAUUGUGAAGUGUUCUCUCCUUUA
rnacentral:snRNA from 1 species